AGACCUUUCAGGAGUAGCAUUGUUAUCGAUAGCAUUUUCAGGUUAGCAUUUCAUUAACUAUCAGUUUAGCCGUCUAAUUUAGGUACUUUAGAAUAUUUAGUCAUAUAAAUCUUUAUAGUCUUUAGAUUUAGUGUUUGUUAAAUUCAUAGUUAAGGGUAGAUAGCUGCAGUAUUGCAUUUAGCUUUAGCACUUGGUGAUAGCUUAGUGUGUACUGUGGGAUAGGAUGGGACGUAGGUGUAGUGUAGUGGGCUGUAAAAGUACGAAUGGAAUACAUAUGUUUCCAGAGGGUUUGGAGAUUAGGCGCCAGUGGUAUGGUGCUCUGGAAGUAGCAGAGGGCAAACUCCCGCCCAGUGCUGGAGUUUGCAGUCGCCAUUUCACUCCGGAUUGCUUCUCAAACAUGACAGAGUUCGAAAUGGGCUUUACCAAGAUCCUAAAACUAAAGAGCAACGCUGUUCCAACAGUAGGUCUUAAACCACCUGCUGUCCAGCCGACUUUGCAACCUGCUGUCCAGCUGAUUUUGCAACCUGCUGUCCAGCCGAUUUUGCAACCUGCUGUCCAGCUGAUUUUGCAACCUGUUGUCCAGCCGACUUUGCAACCUGCUGUCCAGCCGAUUUUGCAACCUGCUGUCCAGCCGACUUUGCAACCUGCUGUCCAGCCGAUUUUGCAACCUGUUGUCCAGCCGACUUUGCAACCUGCUGUCCAUCCGACUUUGCAACCUGCUGUCCAGCCGACUUUGCAACCUGCUGUCCAGCCGACUUUGCAACCUGCUGUCCAGCCGACUUUGCAACCUCGGGGGACAAUCCGUUUGCAGCCAAAAUUAACCAGAGAAAUAGGAUGUCAGACUGAACCAGUCAUCACCAGAAAUUAUGAUGUCCAGACCAACCUGAAGCCUAACAGGAGAAGCAAAGCUGUACAAGCACGCGCUCCAAGCAGGAAUGUGUAUUGUGAUAUUGGAACUACACCGAGGAGUGUCCCUAGGAUAAUUCGACUCCUGUGUAAAGAGAAAAAUGCAAGUUGUUAGCCGAUGACUCCUCCUAUAAUCUGGAUGGAAAUGAUAGAACUGCACAAGUUUCUUGAGGCGUCCCACAUCCAGGGAAUCUCUGAGCAGUGCUUCAAGGCAAGCUCCUCAUCCCCACCAUCAGCUGGCAGUGGAAGCUGGAGCAGGAUGAGCGUAUCGACAAGACCAUUGCUCGUGGGUUUUUGACACUUGGAGACAUGAGAGCUGAUUCAGCUGGUAUUCAGAUAUAUUUACUAUAAAGUAUUCCCAACUAGCCCCCACCAUACGCUGCUCCUCCAGUCUCCUGGUGCAGUACCAUUGCUUCCUGCACUCUCCUCACCCCCACCCACUCCAACCCAGCCUCACUUCCACCUCACAGCUGAUCAGGUGAGAAGUCGGCUCAGGAAAACAAAGAUCAGGAAGGCAGCAGGACCGGCUGGAAUCAGCCCCAGACUGCUCAGGGACAGUGCAGACCAGCUCUGUCUCAGGAGGAAGUCACCCCCUGCGGCAGUGGUUCCCAACCCUGGUCUUCAAGGACCCCUAUCCUUCAUGCUUUACUUGUUUCCCUGCUCUUCAGCAGGUCUUCAGAAGA